UAACGACUAGUCUAAAAAAGACCCCUAAUUUCGACUUAGGAAAUCCCAACCAAUUGGGGCCGCUAA
rnacentral:tRNA from 1 species